rnacentral:rRNA from 1 species
GAUGAACGCUGGCGGCGUGCCUAAUACAUGCAAGUCGAGCGAACGGACGAGAAGCUUGCUUCUCUGAUGUUAGCGGCGGACGGGUGAGUAACACGUGGAUAACCUACCUAUAAGACUGGGAUAACUUCGGGAAACCGGAGCUAAUACCGGAUGAUAUUUUGAACCGCAUGGUUCAAAAGUGAAAGACGGUCUUGCUGUCACUUAUAGAUGGAUCCGCGCUGCAUUAGCUAGUUGGUAAGGUAACGGCUUACCAAGGCAACGAUGCAUAGCCGACCUGAGAGGGUGAUCGGCCACACUGGAACUGAGACACGGUCCAGACUCCUACGGGAGGCAGCAGUAGGGAAUCUUCCACAAUGGGCGAAAGCCUGACGGAGCAACGCCGCGUGAGUGAUGAAGGUCUUCGGAUCGUAAAACUCUGUUAUUAGGGAAGAACAUAUGUGUAAGUAACUGUGCACAUCUUGACGGUACCUAAUCAGAAAGCCACGGCUAAUUACGUG